ACAUAAGACAAAAAUGACCCAUAAUGUUAAUAAUUUUAAAUGUAAUAAUAGACAAUGGAAUACUGAAUCCUUUAAAAUGGUAUAAUUGUCCAGAUUUUUAUUUUUAUGUGAUGCACAAUAUAUGAACACAUAAUUACAAAAAAUUUUUAUAUUAUGGCACCUAAGGGUAAGUAUGCACAUUUGCCAUCACUGUACUACAUAUAACAGGAAGAUUAAAGAUGUACUAUUGGACAUUGUUGUAGUAUAAUUAACAUGAAUAUAUUGUUAACAUUGGUGAAAUCAAUGUUUUAUUAACAAACUGUGAAGGGACAUUUUAUCAUUAAUUUUCUGAAUAGUUUUUUACCUCAUCCCUUCUUCUAAGUUUAAUUCUGUGGUUUCCAUUUAAUAGUAAUUUUAUCAGUGUGGUUUAUCUGUGGUUUCUUAGAAGUACAACAUUGUCCUCUGGAGGGUCAUAUCUUAUAUCUAAGAAACAGUGAAAACCAUUAUCUUACCAGAUUAAAAUUAGUUCUUUAUAUAAUGUAUAUAAAAAAAAAUAAAAAACUAGAAUAAUUGUACAGCAUGUGAUGGUGGCUAUACAAGAGAUAUAUCAUGAUCUUAUAUAAACAGUUAUCAUUUUUCAUUUUUGCUCUUUUUAUAUAAUAAGAUAAAGAAAAGCACACUCUAGUUUGAAUAUUUCCAAACAUCUCUCCAAUAUGAAAAGCUGAAUGGAAGUAAUGACUGGGGGAAAACUUAUCUAUAAUAGGAGAAUAACCUUUGCACACAGUAAGAAACAAUACUCAAUUACUGAGGAAAGAGGCAUAUAUGAGAUACUAUUAUUAAAUAGAGACUUAGAAUAUAUAUGUUUUUCUGUAUUUUAUUUCUACAUAACUGGGAACAUACAUCAAAAUUGUACCUAUAAGAAGCCUUAGCUCAAAUAGUGGCAAUGUGUGAUGAUGAAAUCAAACUACAUGAAGCCAGAGUGAUAAACCAUCUAGCCAACCUGCAAUAAGAAUAGUAGAAACAAUAAUCAUCGUAUGGAGUUAAAAUUUAAGCAGUAGGUUAAUCAUUGAAAAAUAAAACUUUGUAUGCCAAUAAAGUUUUAUUUUUUAAUGAUUAAUCUAAUGCUGUUGGUGCUUAGAUUUUGACUCCAUAUUAUCUUGGUAAAGCAGUUAUAUGCUUGAAUAAUAGUUAUCUUGUAUGCAAGUCAUAAGAAAGAAGAAAGUAAUUAGCAUGUUAGAUCUAUCUUCUGAACAAUCAUGUUAGAUCUAAUUUUUUAUAAUUUUAUUAGCAAAUUAUCAGUGAUAUAUUUAGUAAUAAAUGUUUACUACUAAAUAUAUUAUUGAUGACAGACAGUCCCCAAGUUAUAGGCAGAUUGUUCUGCAAAAUCAUGUGUAAAUCAAAACCUAUGCAUUUCAGAGCAUAUGUUAUACAGUAUUAGUGUGUCACAAUGAUGUAACACAAAACAUAGUAUGUUAAAGAAUGUAUAGGAAUUCCCAACUUAUAUAGUUCUGACAUAUAUUAUACUUAUUCUU
rnacentral:lncRNA from 1 species